UUUAAAAGCAACCAUUAGUUUCUAUACUAAAUUUUGAUCGUCCGUCUUAUUUAAAUUUUUUAUAAUUAGUAUUUUUAUAAUUAUGAGAUGAUAAAAUAUAAAUAGUGCUUUAUACGUGACUUAUGUUUUAAUUUUUUUUUAAAAAAAAUCAAAUAAGACGGAUGGUCUAAAUUGGGCACAAAAAAUCAUGUAUGCAAAAAAU
rfam:Oryza rufipogon genomic scaffold, chr03